rnacentral:lncRNA from 1 species
AAGGUCAGAAAAGAAAAAUAAGGAGACAGCUGGGGGAAUAAUUUUGGAACAAGAGGAGAGAUAGAAGGGAUUGAUGCGGGCCCUUGCAGGUGGAAAGCUGUGAAGACCGACAGAAUUGAGGGCAGUGAGGCAGCCAGGAGAAAAAAGGAAAAUAAAAUAAGGGAAUCCAAGAGAGAAAAACGUGCAGGACUGAUGAAGUAAAUAAAAAAGAGAGGAAAUGGGCGCGGAAAAAGGCAGCUGCCUUUGGGCAGCGCUAGGAAAUAGAAUAGGAAAAACAAAGAGACAGAGAAGAGUGGAAAUCCGUGAGGAGAGGGGGGGGAGCUGCCUUUGGGCAGCUCGCAGACAGACGCAGCGGAACAGAAAAAUAAUUGGGGGAGAGAAGAGACUGACGUGGGCGCAAGAAGGGAGCACGGGAAGGAAAGAAGACAGUACGGGGAGAGAGGAAAGGAAAAGCAGGAAACGGUGAGGCGCAGCGAGAGGUCAGGAGGUCAGGAGGUCAGCACGCAGAAAGGAAAGAAAAUAAGAGGCCAGUGCACAGUAGGCGCAGGAAAGAGGAGGAGAGACUGACACGGGACUGAGGGCAGAGACCAGCAGAAAUGGGAGCAACACAGAGAAAAGUUUCACUCCAUUUUUCUUGGUUUUAUCUUCUCAAACUCAUGUUUAAUUUUUGGUUUAAUUUUAGAAUAAUGCGUAGCUAAAUUUAUUUUGGCUAGAGGUUAAUUCAAAGCCAUGAAUAUAUUUGUAAUAUGAAUUGAUUACCUUCGGUUGUGAUUUCAUAAGUUGUGAUUUCAAUUGACUUAUCUGUUCGUAUAAAAACUGAUUUGUGUAUGUUGGUUGAGAGUGCACGCUUAAUUUACAUGCAUGAAUUUGAUGCUAGAAUAUAAGUGAAUUUCACCUAAUCGUUAUGAACUUAUUUUCACAAGUAGUAAAGGUUGCUAGUCACAAUCACGUUAAGUAAAUUCUUGGCAAGAGUAUCAUGCUUUUCAUAGUUACGAAUGCCUCGUCAAUGCUUAUAGUUUUCACAAAGUUUAAUGAUCUUUGAUUGUAUCUCUAUUGUGCUUUUCACGUAGGGGACUUUUGAAGAAUGUUUUGAAUUGUUGUAUGCGUUUUCCCGUCCAAUUCAAUAACUUAAGGAAAACUUGAAGAUUAAAAAAGUGCUGUUCACGGUUAAUCUGGAGUAUUGAAAUUCACAAUUUAUUGAAAGAACAACUGAAAAUCAAUUUAGGUUGCAUAUGUGUCAUGUGUGGAGAAGAACCCUCUAGCUAGUCUGUCAUUUAUCAUUUUACCUUAAUUUUAUGUUUUUGUCAAUUCUGUAAUUUAAUUAAGUUUAAUUUACUUUUCAUCAAAACCAAACACCCAUCCAUUAUUAAAUUAUAUUAUUUAGUUAGUUUGCUUUAUUGUUAGUCUUUUAAUUUAAUUUCCGUCCAUUUCAGUUCCUAGUGUUUAAUUUAAUUGUUUUCAUUGUUUGAGUCAUUUUAAGUGUGUUUCGAGUUAUUAGAGUUUUUAGCCUAAUUUUGUGUCCUUGAGUCUUAUUUAAUAUUUUUAAAUUAAUUUAGAAUAGAUUAGCAAUCCCUCCUAAUCCCCGGCCUAGAACGAUACCCUACUUACAUCUAUACUACAAUUGUCAAAAAGAGGGUUUAAUUUGUGUGUUAAGUAAUUUCUCGCAUCAAAUUUUGGCGCCGUUGCCGGGGAUUAGCAACUUUGCUAAUCCUUUUAUUUUUGUUUUUGUUUAUGUUUAUAUUGGUGUUUGUGUAUUUUACUUUUGAUAUUUGAUUUAUUUUUCUUUCUUUGAUUUUAGGUUCAAAUGGAGCCGAGGGAAAUUUAAAGGAAAG